rnacentral:lncRNA from 1 species
CAGCCACUCGCAUGGUGGGGAGCCCUGGCAGGACAGGCUGAAGCCUGCACUGCAGUUCGGGGAGGAAGAAGAAACUUGGCCAGAGCCGGAGCUCAUGUGCGCUUUAAUGGUGGGAAGGCUUGGGACGGGGCAUCAAGAGCAGCAUCUUAUCAAGUUGGUGUAAAAAUGAGACAAGAUCCAGACAUGUUCUUUACACUGACAGUUACAGUCCAUUUCAAAAUCCAACCAGCCAUUUGAAUCAUUUCUUACAAAACAAACACAAACGCAGGUUGGUGCCCAGUGCAGUCCGCAGGGCCAGGUUGGCCCUACAUCAUGGGUGCAAUGGGCGCUGGGGACCAGGGACCAACCCUCCCUGCAGAGGGCAGGAGCAGGGCCUGGGUGGGGCCCCGGCCAGCAGGCCUGGGCGGCGCAUGUGCACAGUAGAAAGAGGGUGUGGGGCCCCCAGGAGCCUGCCACCUUCACAGGAUGGGGACCAGCCCUGGGGGUCUUUCCCAGGAAUGCAAUAAAUAUGGGAAUCUAAACGGAUUGACAACCACCAGCCAGCCUGGGCAACUUCACACGGUACAAAAGGCUCAGCCCGGCUCUGCCGGUCCCACUGGCUCUUCACAGACCAAAGCGUCUCCGAGUCAGCGGCUCGGGGUCCCCGGCACCCACUGGGAGGUGGCAGGUGGGUUGGAUGUGUGUCACAGUCCUGCUUCCGCAGCUGCCAGGGGAAGCGGCGGUGCAGGGCCUGGGCGGGUCCCACCGGCAGGACCCCCAGCCCCCGUGUGCCCGUGUGAGCGUGGGGCGUCACACGGUCCCUGGUGAUGGGCCCGCGGUGGCCGGGGCCUACCCUUCCCGCACGCUCACUCGAGGCUCGGCCAGAGAGCUGUGGAUGAUGUUGAUGAUGGACUCCAGGCCGCUGCCCUCCAGCAGUGUGCGGUGGUCGCCCUCGAUGACAUGCACGGACACCUUCCCGUCACACACCUGCGGGCGGUGCCUGUGAGCCAGGCCGAGCCGACCGCGGCUGGCCACCCGCCUGGGGCAAGCCCGCCAGCUCACCUGCGAGAGGUUGUAGUCGGCGCCCAGGUCCUCGCCGUAGGCCCCUCCCGUCUUGGCCCGCAGCAGCGUCACGUUCCCGUGGUACUUGGCCUUCGGCGUGUACUGCUCGAUGGCGCGCAGCUUGUGGUAGAAGGACAGGGCAGCAAAGCUCAGCUCCCGCCGGCCCAGGCCCUGGUGGCUCUGGGUGAUGAGGUCCACGGCGGCAGCCACGCGCUCCUCCAGGCUCCUCAGGGGCAGCAGCGCCUCCAUCACCUGCAAGGGAAGCUCUGAGUGUGGCAGCAGAGCCGGCCGGCCCGGGCCUGGGGCAGGGGCAUGGGCCCUGUACCCACCCUGCCGUGCUCCGCGUCGGUGAACUGCUGCACGAAGAAGCACACAGCCUCCGCCUCGGCCUCGGCCUCGCAGCCAGGGGUCAUCUUGGCGCGGUAGCUCUGCGGGGGGGGGGGGCAGUGGCUGCAGUGAGGGGCACGCAGCCCCCCAGGCAACACCCGCCCGGGGCCAGCACCGGGAGGCCCGGCCGCGCGGCUCUCACCUGGGUGUAGGCCAGCACGUAGGUGUGCGAGCCGUCAAACAGGAAGAGGCUGUGGUGGGCAGGGGCCGGGCCCUGCUGGGCCUGCAGCUGGGAGCACAUCUCGAAGGCCACGCAGGCCCCGUAGGAGUAGCCGGCCAGGCGGUAGGGCCCUUCGGGCUGCACCUGCUUGAUGCAGUCGAUGUAGUAGGCGGCCAGGCUCUGGAUGCUGUCCAGUGGGGCAGCUGGAAUGGCAGCAGCAGGUGCUCAGCGAGAGGGGCCUCAGGCUGGGGCCGCCCGGGGGAGCGGGCACAUACCCUGGGUGCACUGCAGGCCGUAGGUGGGCACGCUCAGCUUGGCGGCCAGGUUUUGGAACACGGUGGUGGAGCCCUCAAUGGGGUGCACCAGGAAGAGUGGCCGUUCCGUGUUCUGGACUAAGUUGAGCCGAGUCAGGGUGGGGCCCUCGGGGUUCACCAGCAGUGUGCUCAGGUUCAGCUGGGCCUGUGGCCGCACCUGGCUGCCAUCCUUGGCCUUGGGGGAUGCCAGCUCUGGGGAGAUAGAGCAGAUGCCAGGCUGGCUCCAUGCAUGUGCCCGCAGGCACUCCACCCGCUGCAGGCCCCCUUCCCCGACUGCCACCACACGCACCUCUGUCUGGGCUGGGCCUGGAGGACAGCUCCUGCAGCUUCCGCAGUGUGAGCUGUCGCACCUCACGCAUGGACAGCACCAGGUCAUACUCCCGCUCCAGGGUCUGGCGCACCUCUACGCUCAUGAGCGAGUCCAGGCCCAGGUCCGCCAGUGAGAUGUCCAGGUUCAUUCCAGCCAAGUCUCGGAUGCCUGGGGAGGGAAGUGCGAGGCGCCAUUCGAGAGGGGCUGGGGCGGGGCUGGCCUGAGUGGGCACUGGGCUGAGGCUGGGGUGCUGGGCCCAGGGGUCUGUGCCUGCCAGCAUCCUACCACCGUCUGGCCAAGCCCUGCAGAGUGCUGCAUCUCACAGUCCUCCCUUCUGCAGAGGGGGAACCUGGGACUCGGGUGACACAGCCCUGGGCCAGGGCCUCUGGGAAGGUCCCACGGACAGUGCUCACCCAGGAUGUGGGCCACGGCCUGCAUCAGGUCGAGCUGGCCUUUGCUGUCCCUGAGGGCCGCAGCCUUCUCGGCCAGCACGAAGCUGCUCAGGACGGCGUGGGGCUGCUGCAGGAAGAGGUCCAGCACCUCCAGGCAAGAGGCAAUGCGCUGGGGCACCGUGCCGCCCACGACGAUAUCGUCGCCACCCAUCACGUCCAGCAAAAUGCCCACGUCGCCAAUGGCGCCCCACUGCACGGCGAGGCCUGCGGGAGGGGUGCGGGCGGUGAGCGAGUGAGGGUGGGCAGCGGGCGGGGUGGGGCGUGGGUGCAGGCGCAGGGCUACCUGGGAGGCCAUCGUGCCGGCGCUGCUCACAGAUGCGCUCCAUGGCGGAGUUGGCGAAGCCGUAGCUGCUCUGACCCAUGUUGCCACGCCCGCAGCUCACCGAGGAGAAGGCCACGAAGUGGUCCAGCUGCGGGCAGGCUUCUCGGGUCACCCUGUGGGCGCUGCUGUCACUCUCUGGCCACUGCUGUACCCGGACCCCCGCUCCCACACCAGCCCGGACGGCCCAAGGCCGCCCCGACCCACCUGUCCAGGUUGAGCGUGCCGCUGUACUUGGGCCUGCUGACGUCCUGGAACUGCUCUGGAGUCUGGCCCUCCAGCAUGGCGUCCCUCAGGACCUGGGGGGAGGCGUCCUCAGCACCUGCUGCGGCUCUGUCUCACCCAGCUUUGCCACCCCGCUGCACUGCAGAGCUCUGGUGCAGGCGCCCCCCCUUACCACAGCCAGGUUAAAGACUCCUCCGACCGGCCCAAGCUGUGCGGCCUCGGACAGGAGGGCACGGGCCCCCUCCAGCGAGCUGGCGUCUCGGGUGGACACCAGCACCUGCAUGCCCCGGCUCCUCCACUCGCUGACCUGCUUGGCCUGGUAGCCUGCGGGACGUGGGUUUGGGACUGAGAAAGGCAGCGAGAGGGGAGCAGCCCCCAGGAAGGACAGGCGUGCGCCCCACCCGGGCUGCCCACCUGUGCGGAUGCCAGAGCGAGAGGUCAGCACAAGCUUCCGGGCCCCCCGCUGCAGCAGCCACUGGGCCAGCUCGAGGCCGAAGCCGCCCAGGCCCCCUGCGAUGACGUAGGUCUUGUGCGGCGGACAGAAAGUCUUGGAGAUGGCAGCCACGGGGGCUGGCUGUGCUCCUUGCAGCCCGGACUCUCGCUCUUCCUCUUGUACCUGCAGCCAAGCAGGAGCCGAUCAGAAGCCCAUGAGGGCCGGAGCUGAUCAGAAGCCCAUGAGGGCCGGAGCUGCUGGGCAGCUGGGUGCUCCCCUCACCUGGACAAGGACUUUGCCAAUGUGCUUCCCCUGGGCCAUGUAGCGGAAGGCAUCCUCCACCUUGGCCCUGGGGAACACGGUGCACUUGAGGGGCUGCACCACUCCGUCGCGGAUGCCAGCCUGCAGGAGGCCAAACACCUCUCGCCACUGGGGGUUGUCCUCCUCCAUGAGUGCGUCCAGCAGGAUCCCGUGGAAAGUGACGUUCUUCAGGAAGAUGGCCAUGCCUGGGCGGGGCGGGCCACACUCAUCAGGACAGCUGCCCCACGCCAGGGCUUACCAGCCACUGCCCACCCCGGGCUGCUGGCCUCACCAAGCGGGUGGUUGUUGGAAAGGUCAAAUUUGCCAAUCUCCAGAAAGCGGCCGUGCUGGGCCAGGCACCUCACGCUGGCCUGCAGCUUCUCUUCCGCCAGGGAGUUGAGGACCACGUCAACGCCUGCACAGGAGGCAGCCAGGUCCUUAGGGCACGGCCCCGCCCACAGUGCCCGCCCAGUGGCCAGGGCUGGGCAGCGCUCACCUUUCCCGCCCGUGUGCAGCAUCACAUGCUGUUCGAAAGACGUGUCCCUCGAAUUGGCGAAGCUGGUCUCGUCCAGCUGGGGGAACCUGGACUGGAGGUAGGCCCGCUUCUCAGCCGAGCCUGCAGAGCAAGAUGCUGAGUGGGCUGCGGGCCAGGCGCCGGCGGGGCGGGGUGUGCAGGCAGGGCAGGGCCUUACCCACGGUGGUGAAGAUGCGGCAGCCCAGGAGGAAAUGGCGGAAGGCACCCCAGGCGCCAUCCCGGUACACAUUCAUCACCAGAUCCUUCUCCAGCACCUUCUGCAGCUCUGCAGAGCCAGGGUCCAUCUUGGGGACACGAGACGUGCUGCUGAGGUUGGACAGCAGGAUGCACCUGUGGGAGGCCCAAGGCAGUGAGGAGCCAGAGGAAGACACAUGUGGGGAGGGCUGGGAGCGGCUCGGGCAUCCUCCUACCGGAUCCGGUGCCCGCCGGGCUCCUUCCGGAGACAGUUCACCAUGCCCACCACACCCGAGGUGGGGCAGCCCAGGGCUGUCAGCCACACGGGGCGGGGGGACACCUCAGCCAGAAUGUUCUGCGGGACAAGGGAGGGGUCAGUUUCCCGGAGGGCUCCAGGUUGGGCUAGGGCAGGGCAGGGCAGGGCAGGGCAGGGCAGGGCAGGGCAGGGCAGGGCAGGGCAGGGCAGGGCAGGGCAGGGCAGCCAGUUCCAGCCAGACCUUCAGAGAGUCCACCCAUCGGAAGCUGGUGUCCUCCACCGGCAGGAAGAUAGGGCUGUCCUGUGGGGCGGGCCGGCGGCACAAGAAGAUCGCAGAGCCGUAGAAGGAAGUUUUUAGGCCCACGAGGUGCAGUGCCGUCUUGGAGAAGAGACUCUCCCACUCAUCCUGGGGGGGUGGGGAGUCAGCGCCAGCCGGCUGAGCCCCCGGCCCCACCCAGCCACGAGCCCGGCAGCGGCAGUGGCACCUGUCUUAGGAGCGUGGGCCCGCUGUACGGCUCCGAGGUGAGGAAGGCCAGGGUCUCCCCGAGGGUGUGCCCUCUGAGCACAGUGUGCAGCAGCAGAAAGCCGCCCUCCCUGAGGGCAGCUGCCAUGUUGGUCAGGGCCAGGGCCGGGUCCCCCAGGCUGGCCACAGCGCUGUUGCACACCAGGAGGUCUGCUGCGCCCAGACUGCUGGGGACAGGGUCCGCAGGGUCCCACUGGCCCUGAGCAACGUCAUGCUGCUUCAGCUUGUCCUGGGCGGCCUCCAGGGCCUGGGGGUGACGGUCAGUGGCUGUGUAGUCCAGCUGCAGCAUGGGGUGGGUGUUUAGCAGGGCUGAGACGCGGGAAUACAGGUGACCGUCGCCAGCGAGCACCUGUAGCAGGGGAGCAGGUUCUUGAAUCAGCUGCCACUGGGCCAGGGUGGUCACUACUCCACUGGCUGUCUGUAGUUCCCCUGACCCCAGAACCCGAGGCCUCCCAGGGCGGCUGUGUGGACUGGACAGACCACACAUGCAGAGCCAGCCAGGCCCCUUCCCCAUCCUUGCUCCUCUUCCGCCCACGGCUUUCUCCUGCCUGGCUGGAGGUGGCUUUUCUCCCAACACCAGGAGACACACACUGAAGCCGAGGGCUGAGUGCAGCCUCCCUGCAUCCAGUGGCGUUGCCGGGCACCCACCUCCACCACCUUCAUCUUCGGGCUGGGCAGGUUCUCCAGGGCUGUGUCCAAGCAGGCCUUGAACACUGGGGAGUUCAGGAGGCCGCUGAGUAGGGGGUCCUCAGGCAGCAGGGCUCUCUCCUGGGCCAGUGCCUGCUGCAAGUUUCCAUUCAGCUGCAGCCGACAGGCAGCCGCCAGCAGACGGGGCAGGCCCUGCUGUGGGGGUUCCUGGGGCGCCCGGGCCCCAUCCAGCUCAGGCACCACCAUCUUCAGCCCCUGCUGGGCCGCCUUGGCCUGCAGUGUCCGUGCCAGGCCUGGGAAGGGGAGAUGGAAUAUGUUGCUGAGCUCCCCGGCCACUGCCCAGGGCCCAGAGGACAAGCUGAUAGCUGGAGGACCAGGGACUGGCUGAGGGCAGGUGGCAGGGCUGCCUUGUUGGCCAGAGUGUGACCAAGGGUGCCGGGCCCGUUUCCCACACCCAGACUAGGCCAUGGCCCCACUGUGGCAGAGGCAGCCUUGAAGCCCCUGCCGAGACCAGGACAGUUAACGGCCAUAAGGACUGGGUGAGGAAGAGGGCAGGCCGGGGCCCACACGGAGGGCUGCAGAGCUGGAUGGCGCCUGGCACUGGCAUCUCGGGAGCCCCAGCGUCCGCCUCACCCCUGCACAGCUGCAGCUCCUCCUGCAGGGCCGCGCUCUCAGACAGGCACCCCGCCUCCACGUGGGGCGUGAAGCAGAACCUCUCCAGGAUGGGCAUCGUGUGCUCCUGCUGCCGCCGUGGGGCUGACGUCGUGUGGAGCUGCAAGAUGUGGACCCCGCCAGCCACUAUUCUGCUCAGAGCGGAGCUCACCACGAAGUCGACCACUGCGGGGACAGGCUGGUGAGCCAGGGUGGCACCGGGCAGGAUGUGGGCGAGGGGCAGGGCACACAGCGCUACCUUGGGUGCUGUCCUGCAGCAUGUGCACCUUCUGCAGGUGGACGGCGGGGUCGAUGCGCAUAUCAGUGACACGGGUGGGCAGGCUCAGGAUGCGCUGGCUGUUGCCCAGGAUGGCCGCCUGCAGCAUGGUGUCCAUGAACGUCACCCAGUUGUCUCUCCAGAGAAGCUUGCCCCGCUCACCUGAGGGAGGGGCUUAGUCAGAGCCCUGGGCUCUCCACUCUGCCUCAUGCUGCUGGCCUCAGCCACAGGGCCAGGACACCAGUGGCCAUGCAGGGACGGUGGGGUGUACAUGCCCACCUCUGAGACUGGCCUCGAAGAUGCCCUGGAAGUGGGGGCCGUAGUUAUAGCCACGCAGCCGCAGCUCCUUAUACACGUCCGCCGGGGACAGACAGGAAGUAGGCACAGGCUCCAUGGGACCCAGGCCUUCUGGGUGAUCGAAGAGCUUGCGGUCGGGGUCCUCCCACUGGUACACCUUCCCUGAGGGCAGGGGUGGCAGGAGGGCCUGAGCACUGGGCAGACAGCCGAGCUGACACCCCCAGUCCCUGGCGGGCAGCUCCACUCACCACUCACGAUCAGGUUGCCGUUAUGAGACACUUCGAAAGUGCAGGCGGCCUCCAGCAACCGCACCUCCAGGGCCACGGUCCCUGUGGAGCAGUGGGGUCAAGGGCCUGGCUGUGGCCCCUCCAGCCGCCCCCACCCGGUGGCGCCCUCACCUGUGUUGGGCAGGAUGGUGGCCUGGUGCAGCGUCACACCCUCGAACACCACGGGGGUCUGCUCUAAAGGCAGGCCCAGGCUUCGAGCCAGCGUCCUCCAGACAAGAACCAGGUAGCCGGUGGCAGGGAAGAGCACGCGGCCAUCGAUGCAGUGGUCCACCAAGUAGUGGUCAGGGGACUCGGGAGUGGUGUCUGUGGGCAGAAGCAGGCCUCAAGUGCCUGCCCGCCCGCACAUCCAGUAAGGAAGGGUGUACUCGUUCGGGGCUGGUGGGGCCUGGCUCACCAAUGUUAUAGACGGUGGCGGAGGAAGAGCCUGAGCCAUUCGGGAAAUCCUCUGCGGUUGGCACGUCCCAGGUCUGGCUGUGGUCCCACUUGAUGUGGGGGGGAGAUGAGGGGCGUUCCUCGGGGUGCUGGGAACUCCACAGGUGGGAAUAAGGCAUCAGGGUUGGUGUCGAUGCUGGUGUAGGGAGAGGGAGGAGUAGCAGCAUUGCCUAGCCUGGGGCUCACACACCCAACUAUCUUCCCUGGACCCCAAAAGACACCGGGCCUGGAGGCAGGAGCCAAAGAGACCCAUAGCCAGAGUGCCACCAGGAUACUUAGUUCAGCUGCCCGGCUCCCAGAGGCCACCUGCCUGCACCACCCCGACUCCU